UACGUAGGGUGCAGGCGUUAAUCGGAAUUACUGGGCGUAAAGCGUGCGUAGGCGGUUUGUUAAGACAGGUGUGAAAUCCCCGGGCUUAACCUGGGAACUGCGCUUGUUACUGGCAGACUGGAGUGUGGGCAGAGGGGGGGUGGAAUUCCAGGUGUAGCAGUGAAAUGCGUAGAUAUCUGGAGGAACACCGGAUGGCGAAGGCAGCCCCCUGGGCUAACACUGACGCUGA
rnacentral:rRNA from 1 species